GUAGGGUGGGCAAGCGUUGUCCGGAAUUAUUGGGCGUAAAGCGCGCGCAGGCGGUCCUUUAAGUCUGAUGUGAAAGCCCACGGCUCAACCGUGGAGGGUCAUUGGAAACUGGGGGACUUGAGUACAGAAGAGGAAAGCGGAAUUCCAAGUGUAGCGGUGAAACGCGUAGAGAUUUGGAGGAACACCAGUGGCGAAGGCGGCUUUCUGGUCCGUAACUGACGCUGAGGCGCGGAAGCGUGGGGAGCAAACAGGAUUAGAUACCCUGGUAGUCCACGCCGUAAACGAUGAGUGCUAAGUGUUAGGGGGUUUCCGCCCCUUAGUGCUGCAGCUAACGCAUUAAGCACUCCGCCUGGGGAGUACGGCCGCAAAGGCUG
rnacentral:rRNA from 1 species